AACUCUGCUCCAAUAAUAUCUACUAAACAAAAGUGACAACAUGAAUGAUUUGAUGAAUUUUCUUGAUGAUUUCUCCUCUUGAAUUUUUCGCUAUAGGAGGAACGCUAUAUAUUCGUACACAAUAUACCCGUUCCAAAAUGUCAUUAAAGAUUGAACUUUUUAUUAUAGUAUAGAUAUGUAACUUGAUAUAUGUUAUUAUCAGAAAUCCAAAUCACCACUCUCUUUUUAAUUUCAACCAUCAUCUUGAUGUGCUGAGCUUCAGAUCAAGUCCAAUGUCCAUACCGUUAUAAGCAAUGGGGGCAUACAUCCAAAGAUCAUCAGAACUUAGCAGCUUAAUUUGAAGCUGCAAAAACUUCACAUAAUGAACUGCUUCUUCUAGCAUUGUACUAAUAUCAACCUUUGUUCCAUUAGGCACAAGGUUCUGUAGAAUUCUCAGCCUCUCAUUUAUUCUCUCUCUUCUUUUCCUUGCAUAGAGGCUCUGGGGAUCAGUCGCCGCCCCUCUACUGGCUCUCGUUUUGCCAUUCAAGUUGAGGGCUGAAGUCCCUUUCGAGCUCAAACUUGAACUAGCUCCUCCAUUGUGCGUAUGGGAUGAAUUUGAGUCAUCCUCCGAGCAGCAGCUACUUGAGGCUGGCCCAUUAAGGCCUGCAUUACUCUCUUCAUCACUGUUGCUGCUCGAGACUGACUUCUGGCUCUUCUUAGACCUUACAUUCCUCUUGUUCUUUUGAGCAUCUCCUGCACUCGGCGAUCUUUUCUUAGAAAUCGCAGAUGGGAUGUUGCUUUUAUCUUCUGUCGUCGAUGGUUCUGGCGCCAGCAUCUCUUGUUCCUUCUUGGCCUGCAACCUGUUAUCAGGCAGAUCAGCAGCUGAAGGCUGCUGGUUUCCACCAGACUCUUCCACAUUGCCAUUGCUUAUUUCCUGGUUCGAGAAGUACUCGUCGCCUUCAACAAGAUACGAGUCAGUAUUUGUCACAUCUCCCAUACAAAAAUCCAUAGACAUGGAACUGUUAUUGUUAACCAAAACUGGAUGAGAAUCACUCAAGUAGUAGCUCUCCUGACUUGAGGUGGGAAAAAGAAAACUGCUGCCUCCACUAUAACUACUACUCCCUUGUAAAAAAUUGUAGAAAUUAGUAUGAAAUGAACCUUCAUCGACUCCAGCCAUGUUCAUUUCUGAUUUAUGGUUAGACCAGAAAGAAGAUAGAAAUCCCAAGCUGGAACUUGAAUCAUUAUUACCGAGCAAUUGUGCCAAGAAAUCAGCCUCCUCGCUUGUGUACACAUCACUAAGAGAGCUCCACUCUCCCUCCAAAGUGACUCCAAUUGGCUCCAUUGAUUUUCCUGUUAAUUCCAGCUCUUGGCUAGCCUAUUAGAGUGUUUAUUUGAUGUUAAGCAGUUAGCAGAAGCUUGAAAAACUCGAUGCUUGAAAAGAAAACAGGACCAAUGAGAGG
rnacentral:misc_RNA from 1 species